rnacentral:rRNA from 1 species
AGAGUUUGAUCCUGGCUCAGAACGUACGCUGGCGGCACGCCUAACACAUGCAAGUCGAACGAAGUAGCAAUACUUAGUGGCAGACGGGUGAGUAACAUGUAGGUAUCUUCCCUUUGGCCUGGAAUAACACGAGGAAACUUGUGCUAAUACCGGAUAAGUCUUUACAGAGAAAGCUUUAUGCACCAUUGGAUGAGCCUGCACUAGAUUAGUUUGUUGGUAGGGUAAUGGCCUACCAAGACUGUGAUCUAUAGCUGAUUUGAGAGGAUGAUCAGCCACAUUGGGACUGAGACACGGCCCAAACUCCUACGGGAGGCAGCAGUGGGGAAUCUUGCACAAUGGAGGAAACUCUGAUGCAGCGAUGCCGCGUGAGUGAAGAAGGCCUUUGGGUUGUAAAGCUCUUUCGUCGGGGAAGAAAAUGACUGUACCCGAAUAAGAAGGUCCGGCUAACUUCGUGCCAGCAGCCGCGGUAAUACGAAGGGACCUAGCGUAGUUCGGAAUUACUGGGCUUAAAGAGUUCGUAGGUGG